CGGCCAUGGGGCCUAUGUGUCCUCCUCCCUUGGGCCCGUUUAUCCCCCCUCACGAGCCCAGGAAAUAUCUUACAAAAGAGCCUUGUUUGGAGGCUAUCAACUGGUGCACGUUUGGUCGAUUUCUCCCGGGUUUCAGCCACCGGUUUGCUUGCAGGCAUGGCCAGAGGCGUUGUCCAUUGUGCUGCGUCGGUCACGUACCGUCUUGGAACACGAAAGACAGCCAUGUUCUUCUGGAGAUCCCAAGGUGUCCGUGAAAGCCCCAGAUGGGGAAGAAUAUGGCCUGCCCGAUAGUCCCAGAUUCCAGGAGCAGGUUUGAGAAAUGGCUUUCAAAAUCUGAACAAAAGCAACCUACGAUACUAAUGAGGACUCGCUCCUAUUGAGUGAAAUGGGAGGUGCAGGUGGAUAAGAGUAUAAGGCUGUGAAUCAUUACAUCGGCAUCAUGACUGGAUGGUGGCUGGAAAUGAAGCUUUCAUGCCGUUGUGGGAAUGCCAAGACAGUGUAGUGCUGAAAGCUAUCGUCUGUGAUUGCUGUUAUCUCGAGUUUGAUGCUUUGUUCUGCAUCCGUAGAUAAUGUAGCAUGCUCCAUCUAUUUGGGAGUGUUGUAUUUCCUACUGUGUGUUCAGAGUACUCUUAUGGAAAAAGCAGUAACAACAUUACUUUAAAAGGUGAGGGCUGUCUAGUACCUUACCCAGACCUGAAAGGUAACUUGCUGUUUAAUAAAGUGAAGGUGAGCACCCA